GAAGCAUUGAAUUGAAGCCCCAGUAAACGGCGGCCGUAACUAUAACGGUCCUAAGGUAGCGAAAUUCCUUGUCAGGUAAGUUCUGACCCGCACGAAAGGCGUAACGAUUUGGGCGCUGUCUCAGCUGUAGACUCGGUGAAGUCUUAGUACCUGUGAAGAUGCAGGUUACCCGCGACUAGACGGAAAGACCCCAUGGAGCUUUACUGUAGCUUGAUAUUGGACUUUGAUGCAAGAUGUACAGGAUAGGUAGGAGACUGAGAGACAUGCACGCCAGUGUGUGAGGAGUCAAUGUUGGGAUACUACUCUUCUUGUAUUGGAGUUCUAACCGGAUGCCAUGGAACUGGCAACGGGACAGUGUCAGGUGGGCAGUUUGACUGGGGCGGUCGCCUCCCAAAGAGUAACGGAGGCGCCCAAAGAUACCCUCAGCUUGGAUGGAAAUCAAGCGCAGAGUGCAAAGGCAUAAGGGUGUUUGACUGCGAGACCUACAAGUCGAGCAGGGACGAAAGUCGGGCUUAGUGAUCCGGUGGUUCCGCAUGGAAGGGCCAUCGCUCAACGGAUAAAAGCUACCCUGGGGAUAACAGGCUUAUCUCCCCCAAGAGUCCACAUCGACGGGGAGGUUUGGCACCUCGAUGUCGGCUCGUCGCAUCCUGGGGCUGUAGUCGGUCCCAAGGGUUGGGCUGUUCGCCCAUUAAAGCGGUACGCGAGCUGGGUUCAGAACGUCGUGAGACAGUUCGGUCCCUAUCUGUCGUGGGCGUAGGAAGUUUGAGAAGAUCUGUCCUCAGUACGAGAGGACCGGGAUGGACAUAUCAAUGGUGCACCAGUUGUCACGCCAGUGGCACAGCUGGGUAGCUAAAUAUGGAAGGGAUAAACGCUGAAGGCAUCUAAGUGUGAAACCCACUUCAAGAUGAGACUUCCCAUUACGCAAGUAAGUAAGACCCCUUAAAGACGAUAAGGUUGAUAGGUCAGGAGUGUAAGCAUGGCGACAUGUUCAGCGGACUGAUACUAAUAGGUCGAGGACUUAACCU
rnacentral:rRNA from 1 species